rnacentral:lncRNA from 1 species
CAUGUCUCCACAUGUGUCCACAUUAUUAGUUCAACAACUCCAUGUCCAUGACUUGUGAAACAUAGUCAUCAACUAAUACAUGUGCUAGUCUAAUAUUCAUGUGUGUCCUCACAUGAACUCCGACUAGGGACAACUUUAGAAUAACCAUACAAGUAAAGAGUUUUCACAUACAAUUCACAUAAUUGCAAAUCAAUUCAAGUAGCCUUUAAUGGAUAUUCAAUGAACACAAUAUACAAAUCAUGGAUACAAAUGGAAUAUCAUCAUCUCUAUGAUUGCCUCUAGGGCAUACCUCCAACAGUCUCCCACUUGCACUAGAGUCAAUCUAGAAGGUACCUAAUGCCCAUAGCUCUUACAUGCGCAUCAUGCUUAGCCUGCGGGAGUGGUUUUGUCAACGGAUCAGAAAUGUUCAGAUCCGUGUGUAUUUUGCAUAUCUUGAUCUCACCCUGGUUAACGAAGUCUCGAAUGAGAUGAAAUCGCCGCAUUACGUGUUUGUUCUUCUGGUGGUUCCUUGGCUCCUUUGCUUGCGCAAUUGCCCCAUUGUUAUCACAGUAGAGAUUCAAUGGGCUGGACGCAUUCGGGAACACACCCAGCUCAAUGAGGAAAUUCCUUAUCCAAACACCUUCCUUCGCGGCUUCCGAAGCCGCGAUGUACUCGGCUUCUGUCGUAGAAUCGGCCACCGUCUCCUGCUUGGAACUCUUCCAACUAACAGCACCACCAUUUAGCGUGAACACAAAUCCUGAUUGUGACUUUGAAUCAUCUCUAUCGGUUUGGAAACUAGCAUCGGUGUAACCUGUUACAACGAGCUCCUCCUGACCUCCAUAGACGAGGAACAUAUCUUUAGUCCUUCUCAAGUACUUAAGAAUGUUUUUCACCGCUGUCCAGUGACUCUCAUCUGGAUCAGAUUGGUGUCUGCUUGUCAUACUUAGCGCAUAUGAAACAUCUGGGCGAGUACUUAUCAUUGCAUACAUGAUAGAUCCAAUAGCCGAGGCAUAUGGCACUCUACUCAUGCGAUCCCGCUCAUCAGCAGUCGAAGGACACUGAGUCUUGCUGAGAUGUAUGCCAUGUGACAUAGGCAAGAACCCUUUCUUUGCCUCUUCCAUGCUGAACCGCUUCAACACUUUGUCAAUGUAAGUAUCUUGUCUUAAACCUAUAAGCCUUCUCGAUCUAUCUCUAUAGAUCUUAAUGCCCAGAAUAUAUGCCGCUUCCCCUAAGUCCUUCAUCGAAAAACUAUUUUUCAGUGAAGUCUUUACGGACUCAAGCAUAGGAAUAUUAUUUCCAAUCAGUAAUAUGUCAUCCACAUAUAAGAUUAGAAAUACUACAGAGCUCCCACUAACCUUCUUGUAAACACAAGACUCUUCUUCGUUCUUGGUGAAGUCAAACCCUUUGACUACUUCAUCAAAACGAAUGUUCCAACUCCUAGAUGCUUGCUUCAAUCCAUAAAUGGAUCUCUGAAGCUUGCAUACCUUUCCAGCAUUUUUCGGAUCGACAAAACCCUCGGGCUGUAUCAUAUACACGUCCUCAGCUAGGUUUCCAUUCAGGAAAGCUGUCUUGACAUCCAUCUGCCAUAUCUCAUAAUCGAAAUAUGCAGCUAUAGCUAGAAUAAUCCGAAUGGACUUAAGCAUCACUACGGGCGAGAAGGUCUCAUCGUAGUCAACUCCUUGAACUUGUCGAAAACCUUUUGCGACAAGUCGUGCUUUAUAGAUGUGAACAUUUCCAUCCAUGUCCUUUUUCUUCUUAUAGAUCCACUUGCACUCUAUGGCUUUAACACCAUCAGGCGGGUCAACCAAGUUCCAAACUUGAUUGUCUCCCAUGGACUCUAUUUCGGAUUGCAUGGCACUCUGCCAUUUUUCGGAGUCUGGGUCCAUCAUUGCUUCUGCAUAUGUCGCAGGCUCAUCAUUGUCCAACAAUAAUAUUUCCCGCAUUUCGCGGAGCCUUGUCGACCUUCGUGGUUGUGGCUGUGCUUCUCUUGCCAUGGGUAUCUCAACUUGUUCUGCUACGUUAGCAUCACUCAUUGAUUCUUGCCCGAUUGGCUCAUCUUGAACUUCUUCAAGAUGCACUGUCUUUCCACUCUUUUCUCCUUUGAGAAACUCUUUCUCUAGGAAAACCCCAUUCCGAGCGACAAACACUUUGCCUUCUGAUCGGUUGUAGAAAUAAUAUCCCAAAGUUUCCUUUGGAUAUCCCACGAAAAUGCACUUAUCCGACUUGGGUGUGAUCUUGUCCGACUGAAGUCGCUUGACAAACACUUCACAUCCCCAAAUCUUUAGAAAAGACAAACUAGGAACCUUUCCAGUCCACAUCUCAUAUGGUGUCUUAACCACGGAUUUAGAUGGUACCCUAUUAAGUGUGAAAGCUGCUGUUUCUAGAGUGUAUCCCCAAAAUGACAACGGUAGGUCCGACUGGCUCAUCAUUGAUCGAACCAUGUCUAACAAAGUUCGAUUACGUCGCUCGGACACACCAUUUCUCUGAGGUGUUCCAGGCGGCAUAAGUUGUGGAACAAUUCCGCAACUCUUUAGAUGAUUGCUAAACUCGUGGCUCAAAUACUCGCCUCCACGAUCAGAUCGUAAGGCCUUAAUUUUCUUGCCACGCUGAUUUUCAACUUCAUUCUGAAAUUCCUUGAACUUUUCAAAGGUUUCAGACUUGUGCCUCAUCAAGUAGACAUAGCCGUAUCUACUAAAAUCAUCAGUGAAAGUUAUGAAGUAUUGGAAUCCUCCUCUAGCCGUCGUGCUCAUUGGUCCGCAUACAUCACUAUGUAUGAGUUCCAACAAGUCUACUGCUCUCUCAGGAAAUCCUGUGAAAGGCGUCUUGGUCAUCUUGCCUAGCAAGCAAGCCUCGCAUGUCUCGUAUGAUUCAAAAUCAAACGAAGUUAGAAGUCCAUCAGAAUGGAGCUUCUUCAUGCGCUUAUCACUUAUAUGACCCAAACGACAAUGCCACAAGUAGGUAGGACUCAAAUCAUUAGGCCGAGGCCUUUUAGCACUUACAUUACAGACAAGUGAACCAUCAAGAUUUAAAACAAACAAUCCAUUCACAAUGGGUGCAAAAGCCAUAAACAUAUUAUUCUUAGAGAUCACACAACCAUUGUUUUCACUCGCAAAUGAAUAACCAUCCUUCAUCAAACAUGAAGGAGAUAAAAUGUUUCGACUUAAACUAGGAACAAAAUAACAAUUAUUCAACUCCAUAAUAAAUCCUGACGGGAGGUGGAGUUGCAUCGUCCCGACGGUCAAAGCAGCAACUCUUGCAUUAUUGCCCACGCGGAAAUCAACUUCUCCUCUUUCCACGCUUCUACUUCUUAUCAUUCCCUGCAUCGAAUUGCAAAUAUGAGCAACCGAUCCGGUAUCAAAUACCCAAGAAUUAAUAACUGUAUCAGCGAGAAAUAUGUUGUCUAUAACAUAAACAACAAGCGUACCUGAGGUAGAAGUACUCUUACUUCCGCCGUUCUUCAAGGAAGCUAGGUACUGCUUGCAGUUUCUCUUCCAGUGACCAAGUUCAUGACAGUAAAAGCACUCUUUAUCUGGAGCAGGUCCAGAUCCAGCUUUAACCUUGGGCGGUGGGUUUGGCUUGGACGUUCCAGCCUUGCCCUUCUUCUUCCAAGAAUUGCCCUUCUUCUUAAAGCUGGGCUUGUUCUGUAUCGCCAUCACAUGGCUGGUACUAGCGCUUUUCUUUAUGUCAGCCUCUGCUGUCUUGAGCAUACCACACAGCUCAUUCAGACCCUUCUCCGUCCCAUGCAUAUGGUAGUUCGAGAUGAAGUUCCCAUAGCUAGCCGGAAGAGAUGAAAGAAUGAAAUCAGUGGCCAACUCUUGGCCCAGUGGGAAGCCUAGCUUUUCCAACCGUUGAGUGUAACCAACCAUCUUGAUUACGUGUGGUCCUACCGCUGCGCCUUCUGCUAGCUUGCUCUCAACAAAGGCCUUAGACACAUUGAACCUUUCAGUCCUGGCCUGUGUUUGGAACAUGUCUCUAAGCGCCACGAUCAUAUCGUGCGCCUCAUGGUUUGUUUCGAACUGCAUCUGCAGCUCGGGUUCCAUGCAAGCAAGCAUAAGGCAGCUUACUUCGAGGUUAGCAUCACAUGCUUUCUUGUAAGCAUUCUUAGCAGCAGCGGGUGCAUCCUCAGCAGGUUCUUCUGGUAGUGGGUUGUCUAGAACAUCUUCCUUUUCUCAGCCCUGAGAACAAUUCUCAGGUUGCGGAUCCAAUCCGAGUAGUUUGUUCCAUUCAACUUGUCCUUCUCAAGGACCGAACGCAAAGCAAACGAUGUGGUGGUGUUGCUAGGUGCCAUUUAAUCUACAACAAAAGUAAUGCAAAAUACACUAAGACAAACGUAUCCAUGAUAGAGCAAAUUACAUUAAACUAUUUUAACAGAAUCUACUCCCACUAAAAUCAAUAUCCCUCUAUUGAAACUUAGUGAUUCAGGAUCCACAACUAACAAGUCUACUAGUGAGCUUUAGCAUCACCGCUAGCAAACGAGGUAGAUCGGUAAGCAACUUUUGCUAAUCAUAUCACAUAUGACUCCUGUUGUUGGGUGACAUCUCCAUGUCUCGGCGCCCAACCUUUAUGCCCCAAGGUCCUUAACCGUUAAGAUGACCUUGUUAAGCAAACCAACCCUUAUGCGUGUAAGUGUCCGACACAAACCCGUCUAGUCAAGGAAAACUAGUGGCACCCUAAUUUCAUAGACCCACCACUAAUUGUACAAGACAUGGGACGGUGCAAGUUUUAGUUGGGAGGGCAUACUAACUUAAACUUUGCAAGGGAUCGUUCUACUUCUAACAUCACAGCAUGCAGAAAGUAAAACAUAAAACAGAAUAGCAUUCACACAGUUGUGACACAGUAUGGCCCGUUUUUCAUAUGGUGAUCUCCAUCUCCAUAGAACCUGUUCACCAUGGUGAUCUCCAUCUCCAUGUUCCAUGUGCGCCAUCCUCCUGGUGAUGAGUCCUCCAAGAACUAGAGUAUGCUAUUACACCUAAUAGCUAGUAAAGAAUCUAGUAAUGAAGAUUACAUAGUUGCUUGGAUCAUCACAGAUUGGUACGCAGACCAUUAAAUACAAUAAAGUGACAACACAUAUGGCUCCUGCCUUGUUGCCGUACGCGCGACACGCAGGUCACGAAUGAGUUACACACAUGCAUCACAUACACAAGGGGCCAUACUGAUCACAAGAUACAUACAUCCUGCAAAAGAGAGUUAGGCGUCCUAACGUUCCAAACUUCGGAGGCCCGAAACUCCAUCUUCCAAGCCGAAUUUGGGAAAUCUAAUUUCGCCGAAAACGGCGAAGCGGUUGAAUUUCAUGUGUAACUUUUUCUAUAGAUCAAUUUUCGUAUAGAAAUCGCCCCGAUCCGAGAUCGUACCGAAAAGUUACGGCUGAUUUACCGAAGCAUGCGCAUACGGCAAAAUCCCGACCCCGGCAGUAGAUCACAUCUACUAUUGCACAUCUAAUGCGCCUGGCGUAUGACCCUGGAUCUCGAUUUGACCAAUCAUAUUGAUCUUCCCUCACUGCAACUGGAUUUACGUGUAUCACUUAACUCCGAUGGCGGAAACCGACCGGUAGGAGUAUGUCGUUACACUACCAUUGCAGCAAGGGCACGAAAUCAGGACAUAGAUCAAACAAAGAACUCGCAUAUCUCCAUAUGCACACAUCCCGAAUCCAAAACUAAGCAGCUACGGCUCUGAUACCACUGUUGGGAUACGAGGUAGGCUACGCUAGCGCAAAUCAAAAUUUCUACCGCGUAUAACCAGGAAGAACUGCCGUAUAAGGAUCACGGGAUUACCACUCGACGCACUACUGGUGCGGAAGAUGUAGAUAUGCGUCGGUGCAGAGAAGACGAUCACGUAGUCGUACGUAGUCGAUCAACGUAGUCGUACGUAGUCGAUCACGUCCAGCAGCUCCUCAGCAGCUCGUCCACGUGCACAGCAAGAUCGCCUCCGGUGCCGCGGCUCGUCGUCGGCUCGUCGUGGCUCGUCGGCGGCUCAUCGAUGGCUCGUCCAAGUGCUGCAGGCGCAACACCUCCAAGGUAUCCACACGUGCAGGGAGGAAGCGUCGCAAGCCGGACUGCUAGAUCCGCGAGUUGCAACAGGCGAGGGCGUAGGAGGCGCGGCAAGUCUGUUCAGCCAAAAGGUGUAAAACCCUAGGGCGCCCCCACCCCUCUAUUUAUAGGGGUUCCUGAUGGGCCUCUGGAUCCGAGGCCCAUUAGUACUCCUAAACCUAAUCCAACUCGGACCAGAUCCGAAUUAGGCUUCCAGCCCCUUAAGUGUGUGACCCUAUGGGUUCGGAUACGUAUAGACAUGGCCCGAGUACUCCUACUCGGCCCAAUAGUCGGUAGCGGCCUCUAGCAAGACGUGCCAACUCCUAUACGCAUACGAAGAUCAUAUCAGACGAACCAUCACAACAUAAUAUACAUGCUAUUCCCUUUGCCUCACGAUAUUUGGUCUAGCUUCAAGCCGACCACUCUUUCUUGAUCCUGUGAUUCGGAAUCCCUUUGUAGGUUAACUCUUAACCGUACGUAGCAUGGCCAUGCAUUUUCUGAUCCGAUCACUCGAGGGGCCCAGAGAUAUCACUCUCAAUCAGAGAGGGGCAAAUCCCAUCUUGAUUGACCAUGUCUCAUAGCAUGCUUCUUGACAAACCCGAAAGCUACCUUUAUAACUACCCUGUUACGGCGUAGCGUUUGAUAGCCCCUAAGUAGGUCAAUCCACAUUUAGAAUACAUGCGACAAUCUCAGGUCUAAGGACAAAGCGUAUAUGUUGUUUAAAGAGAGAACUACUUCUCGUGUUGGGUCAGUCCUAACACAUGUCUCCACAUGUGUCCACAUUAUUAGUUCAACAACUCCAUGUCCAUGACUUGUGAAACAUAGUCAUCAACUAAUACAUGUGCUAGUCUAAUAUUCAUGUGUGUCCUCACAUGAACUCCGACUAGGGACAACUUUAGAAUAACCAUACAAGUAAAGAGUUUUCACAUACAAUUCACAUAAUUGCAAAUCAAUUCAAGUAGCCUUUAAUGGAUAUUCAAUGAACACAAUAUACAAAUCAUGGAUACAAAUGGAAUAUCAUCAUCUCUAUGAUUGCCUCUAGGGCAUACCUCCAACACCUUCAGUUCCCAUCCCGUUCU